UACGGAGGGAGCUAGCGUUGUUCGGAAUUACUGGGCGUAAAGCGCGCGUAGGCGGCUUUGUAAGUUAGAGGUGAAAGCCCGGGGCUCAACCCCGGAACUGCCUUUAAGACUGCAUCGCUUGAAUCCGGGAGAGGUGAGUGGAAUUCCGAGUGUAGAGGUGAAAUUCGUAGAUAUUCGGAAGAACACCAGUGGCGAAGGCGGCUCACUGGUCCAUUACUGACGCUGAGGUGCGAAAGCGUGGGGAGCAAACAGG
rnacentral:rRNA from 1 species